UCCUGUGUUUGAAUCUCGGUGUGAGCGUAGGUGGUAUUUUUGCCUCGGUUGGUUGAGAGAGUUUGGAUGAGAUUGGAAGUCUGAGUGAGUGGGUAGUUGAGAUUGAGAUGUUAGUGGGGAGUUGGGAUUUAUCUAAUUUGUUUUUUAUUUAUUUUAUUUUAUUUUAUUCUCUUUUCUCUCUCCUUAAGAAAUUAGACGCGAGUUUUUCCCUUUCCCUACGUUUUUCAGUUAAUUGACAAAUUAUUUUCCCUUGCUCUCUACUUUCUGUCACAAUUUUAUUAUUCAAUCUCGGUAUUUCGGUUCUUCGGUUUCCUUGCGCAUUUUGG
rnacentral:lncRNA from 1 species